UCCUACGGGAGGCAGCAGUGGGGAAUAUUGCACAAUGGGCGGAAGCCUGAUGCAGCAACGCCGCGUGCGGGAUGACGGCCUUCGGGUUGUAAACCGCUUUCGCCUGUGACGAAGCGUGAGUGACGGUAAUGGGUAAAGAAGCACCGGCUAACUACGUGCCAGCAGCCGCGGUGAUACGUAGGGUGCGAGCGUUGUCCGGAUUUAUUGGGCGUAAAGGGCUCGUA
rnacentral:rRNA from 1 species